AGAAUCAACGCUGGCGGCGUGCCUAACACAUGCAAGUCGCACGAGAAAGGGGAGCAAUCCCUGAGUAAAGUGGCGCACGGGUGAGUAACACGUGAAUAAUCUACCUCCGAGUGAGGAAUAACUGAGAGAAAUCUUAGCUAAUACCGCAUAACACUUACGAGUCAAAGCAGCAAUGCGCUUGGAGAGGAGUUCGCGGCCGAUUAGUUAGUUGGCGGGGUAAUGGCCCACCAAGACGAUGAUCGGUAUCCGGCCUGAGAGGGCGCACGGACACACUGGAACUGAAACACGGUCCAGACUCCUACGGGAGGCAGCAGUGGGGAAUUUUGCGCAAUGGGGGAAACCCUGACGCAGCAACGCCGCGUGGAGGAUGAAGCCCCUUGGGGUGUAAACUCCUUUCGAUCGGGAAGAUAAUGACGGUACCGAUAUAAGAAGCCCCGGCUAACUUCGUGCCAGCAGCCGC
rnacentral:rRNA from 1 species